ensembl:lncRNA
CAAGGAGAGAGGGGCCAUGGAGACAGGAAAUUCCCAAUUCAAACAGUAGUGCAGUUCUUUUCCCAGGCUGGUAAUUCCAAAAGGUAGCAAAAAAGCACUACUGUUACAGAGAAAAAAGAAAUGCACAACUGUUAUGGAUAUAAAAAUUCAUACUUUCCCAGGAUGAGAGCAAUUUUGGACAGAAAACGCUAAAUAUGAUAAGAUUUCUAUGGCAGGUUGAAUAUUGCUGUUAUCUAAAAGAUCUGUUUGCUCAGUGUUCCAGAAUUUGUGCUGAAAAAUUCAUCAGAAACAAGCGGAAGCAGAGGAGUGGGAUGAAAAGGGGAGCUACAACAGAUGCAAAGAGCACAAUAACACUAUCUGAUAGAAGAAAUUCUCAACUACAACACACUACUGUUCAACACACUCACCACUGUUAGCUAUGCAUUUUUGUCAGCAACGAACAACAUCCUGCAUGUUGUUGCUCAUAAAAACCUGCACAAGCAGAGCUGACUCACAGCAGAUGGAAGUCAGAAGAUGCUAAAUCCAGACUAUACAGUGGGUGUGGUGGGACAGUGCAGCCACGACUGGCAAUGGCUCCACAGUCUUCAAACUGACAUGGGGCCUGGCAACAAAACCAAAGCACUGCUGAAAAGGUUCAACCUCUACUGUUAUAUCAUCAACAUCUGCCUUUGAUGUCAUGAACCAAGAUAAUAAAACAGUAGGUAUUACUUUUGGAGCAGCCCUCAUAACUACUUGGAAGUCUAAAAUAAUCAUGCAGCAGACACCCAAGUAGAGCAAUGAAAAGAACACCAGAAGUUGAUGGCCUUCCUGGAGGAACAGAUGAAAGUUUUACACAGAAGAUUUUUAGACCAUUAAAUUUUGUCAGAUCCCAUCAUCCCACGAUCCUGAUCAAAACAGGACACUGGCAAUAGAGACCAGGUCAGGGCACUUCUCAUUGCCUGAAUACAGCCUCAGCAGCUCACUCAAGUAGCGGCUCUCCCCCUGACAUGGCACAUACUCAUGGUGUCAAAAGUGGCCAUGACCUCAGCAGAGUUGGAAUGUGAUGCCUCACGCUGAUGUCAAUGAUCACAUCAAAAAGCCAGCGUUCCCAAGCUCUGCAGAGAAGCCAGGAACGAUCUUGCAGAGCUGGGAGCCAGCGGAACGCGCUUGCUGAGUGAAGACUUCCCGCAGGACUUCCCUGCAGACACUUCUACCCCUGUACAUCAGCAGAGCUUGACCACACAUGGCACGGGUGGGCAUACUAGUGACCUAGUCUGCAGGUCAGCUGCCAUCCCUUGUCAUUUUGGACUAAUAAAUGGGCAUUUGUUCACUUCCACAAUGUGAUACAGAGGUCAGUGUUUAGCCCCAGAGAAUACCGUAUGAUUAGUGCAUCAUAGGACUUGUCUUAAAUUCUUCAUCUCUCACUCCCCAGCCCUUUAUUCUCACAUUUUUCCUUUGUUCCUUUCUGCAAAUCCUAGUGUAAAUGUUUUUUUGAGUAAUUAAUGUGUCAAAUACAAGACCUGAAUUUUCACGGGCAAUUAGUGGGCUGAAUAAAACCAGCAAAACGCAUUUCAGAUUUAAUAGUGAAUUGAGCCUCAUCUGCUGUUUUGCAGAGCUGUAACCUGAAAUACAGAGAGCUUCAUAUGCACGUAAACUUUUUAUUUCAUACACCAACCCUUCCUCUCCUUUUCUGCUUUUCACCACAUACAAGGAUGCUGUUUGUAGUCUAUUACAAUUUGCAUAUCGUCCUUCUGCCUCAUUGAUAAUUGAUCAGGAUAACAUCUGCUUUCUGCUGGUGUCAAGAGAAAUGUAUUUGUUUCUACAGGUCUGUGCAAUUUCUCAAGCCUUGCCGAAGUGCAGUUCCCUGACAGAGAGCCACCUCGUGCCUCCCAUAGCUAUACAAGGCACAACUGAAAAUGUGUACCAUGCCCACAUAUGUGGCUCCAUGAAUGCAGAGUGGUGUACAGCUUACUUACACAGUCACACAGCAACACAAAGUGAUGUCUGCUACCGGCAAAAGUAAGAGGUAUUAUAAGUACUGUAGGUAGUAAGUAGGACUCUCAGAAUUCAUAAUUCCUGCUGAAGGCACAAGACAUCCAGUGCAAGGGGAGAAAGUGAAGGAUUGAGAGAUUGCCUAAAGAGAAGAGCUGAUGUGCAGUUUUACCAUGGGACAUACACUUCCAACAAAAUUUAGAAGUGCAGAUACUGGAUCAUUUUGAUAUUAGAGGACUAUAAGAAAGAGUUUUAUGCUUUCCAACGUUUCUGGGGAUUUAACUGUCUGGUUCAAAAAAAAUACCUGACUCUGAAUCAGCUCAGCUUAGAGGCAAGCAGUCAAAAUGAUUAGCAAGCCAAGGAGAUGGCUCAGUCUCAAGGACACAGUGCACUACUCUGACUGGCAAAUCCAUCACAAGUUGCAUAUAUCAUAAUCGAGCAACACAAAUUUGUAAAUAAUCUCUACUUCAGUGUCUAUGUUGACAAGGAAGAAUAUGAGACCUUCCUUGUUAGGUAACCUUCUGUCUAAACAGAGCAUCCUGACACUUAAGUGUGCUGAGAGCAUCUGCAUGAAUGCCUAAAAAAUAUUAGGAAAUGGUGAGAGAUCAAACGAGGUGGUAAGCAGAGGCAUAACAUAAACAGCCUGAUCUUCCUAGCCAGCAGAGCUGGGCACAGGUAAAAGGGUUAGGCUUAGGUUAGAAAGCAUACAACUUGGUUUUCAGUGCCCUGUCUGUUUUUCUAAAUACUAUGUACCUUUCAAGGAACGUACUUAAUAUCAUUGGAGGACUGCAGGUAUCACUGGAAUCUAAUUUAUAAGCAAAUCUAGGUAGACACUUAUUAGCACCAAAAUACAAAUGAUCAAUGAAACGUAGAAAUGAGUGCAAUAUCCCUUCUGUGCCACCAAACCUGAAGUGAUCUCAUCCACAGGUAGACAGAGCAAGGGAGUACUGUCACACAAAGUGAUGACACAGGAGAGAUAAACGUGCGUAUCAUGUUCUGGCCAUCCAUAAUAUGGAAUGAAGAUUAAAAGCACCGUUACUGACCGAGAAAGUACAAUAACUACAAUCACUUUUAAGAGAGAGAUAAUUUGUCAACCGUCACCGCACAGUGGCACCUGGGAUGCCAUGAUUCCUAAAUGCAAUUAGUAGCUGCAGGUGACCAGUUUGAAACAAGACACAGUAAUCAUAUUGCUUUGGGAAGUGCUGAGCACCCAUCCUAAAGAGCGGGACCUUUGGAUAUGCCUUAGCUUUGGCUGAACCCGCCCCACAUCUCAGGGCCCUCCAGUGCAGACAACAUAAUGGGACUCUGCCAACCAUAUGAAGCUGUUGCUUUCUGGUUACUGGUGCUUCAGCAUUAUUAAAUGCAUGUGCUUUAUAUCUAUAGGCAUACCAACUUUCCUUCAGCACAUUUUUCUACUUCAUUUAUGACAGUAUUGGUGUUUCUAUGGAUAUUUGCAUUUAAAAACCACAUCAGGAAUUCAUUCCUGAAGGGAGGAAGCCUUUCUCCCCACUUCAGGCACAAUUCAUAUCCCAGUCCUUCCUUCCCUAGGCUUACACUGUAGGAAACAGCACCUAUAAUAAGCUUAAGGGAAAAUGAAAUACAUCAAGGAAGAUCAAACAGUUGCAGCAGUCAAGCCCCGUACCAGACACACAGGUCCAGUCCCUGAUAUGUAGCCAAGAAUCAGACAAAGAAAAAUGAGUUGUCAAGAAGCCGAUUCUACUGAAGAGGCUCCUCCUGGAGCUGGACAUCUGGGUACUUCGCAUGCCAACAUUAAAUCAUCAGUCAGUUGUUUUUGGUGGGGAAACAGGAGUAAAUUUCAUACUGCCAGCGCUGGGACGGGUGGGCAGCUGCAGGAUCACUCACGUGCCACAGCUGUGCUGCCCGCGCUGCCCCAACGCCCGCUCACUGCUGAGGGGACGGCUGUAGCAGCGCCAUUAGAAAACUUCUUGAAGCAAGUGCAUCUGCUUCCUGAGCUAAAUCUCAUUUGUAUGGUUAAAAGAAAAACACCAGUGCAAAUGGUCAUUGUACCGGAUGAAACCAAAACAAUACCCUGAGAUACGCAGAAGAGCUCCAGGCCAGCUCCUCAACUCUGUGUAUCCUCCCAUUUUUCAGACUGUUCCGGCUUUGAGUACUUUCAAGGCCUUAUGGCAGGUACUUUUAAGGACAGGAAAUUUCCAGACAAUUAAACUGCAUGCACAAACAUUCCACAGAGAAUUUUGUGGUGAAAUUGUCUUGUAAGCCCAUGUUUUUCAGCUCCAGAAUAAAGUGCUGAAGAAUUUUCAGCAGCUGAAUAUAUGUAACACUAUACACAAAAAGCUUCAAAUCAUCACGUGGGUAUCAGCACUGUACAUGUAGCUCUGGUACAAUACCAGUGUCCCAGUUUCAAACCCUCAGAUCUAGUCCUUGAGAGAACCAGAAAACAAAGAAAAAGAACCUCAGAAUAUUAAACAAAUUGAAACUGUACAGUACUUCCUGUUUGCAAGGAUUUGCACAUCCAUGCAUGAGUUUAAAGAUCCUGAUAACUGCAGCGGGAAAAACAAGAAAAUCUACAGCAGAGGAAGAAUAUUCUGGUUAGUAUUUCAGCUUCAAGAGAAGUUUAAAGUUCCUCCUACAAUGGCAGUGAUAAAGAUAGCAUUCAUCUUCAGUUUCAGCAAUAAGCCUGAAUUUGAUCUCUUUUCAAGACUGUUCAUCAUACACGCUGUCCUCUGAGCUUGUGUUUUUCCUUAGUUUACUGAUGGCCUUAUUAUAUCCUUAUGCAUGAGAGAAACACUUUAUUCCCACAGCAUUAAAAUUGUCUUCUGUGAAAGUGGGGAGGUGGUGAAGUGAGGCAUAAUUUACAGUUUCAGAAUAGUGGAAUAACAUUAGUUAUAAAUCUGCAGCUCUCAUGAGUUUCUUACCUGAAGACAGGGAGACUUACAACCGGCAACACAACAAAGAUCCAGUUAAACUAUUCAUUUAUAGAGGGGAAGAAUGACAAGUGUACAACGAGAGCACUACAACACAUCAAAUAUGCACUGAAGAUGAAGUAAAGAUCGUAGUUUAGAAUGACUGUGGUUGUCUGCCUCAAUUUUGUGCUCCUCUCAAAACCAGCAAUAUCAGUUUCCCAGUAUGCUUGUUUGCUAAUCUAGUUCCUAUUCAAUAUUUAAAAUGAUUGAAUAUCUUUAUUUGAAAGGAAACAUAGCUACACAAAAUAACAUUGAGUCAAAUAGACACAGCUAAUCACUACAGGAACAAAUCUGAAGUCUUUGAGGUAGCCCUUAAAGAUCAAACUUCAUCAUCAACUUCACUAAGACCAACGAUCACAGCAUUUGUGAUCCAGUAUUUCCAAUGAAAUACAUGGGAAACUUCUUAUGUUCAAAUCCAGGACUGGCAGGUCCUUUGCUCCUGUUUGUAAGAUCUAUACUAUAAAGAUCUAGAAAUCCAUGACAUUUGUCUACUGAGGAAUCAGUUGCUACUGGCAGGGCUGGAUGUUGGAACCACUGGUUUCAGCUCACAAGAUCAGAGAGUGGAUUAGAUUGGAAGGGACCCUAAAGAUCAUUGAACUCCAACCCCCUGCCAUGGGCUGGUUGCCACCCACCAGCUCAUGCUGCCCAGGGCCUUGUCCAGCCUGGCCUUGAAUGCCUCCAGAGAUGGGGCACCCACAUUUUCUCUGGGCGGUAGCACCAGGGCCUCAUCACUCUGAGUAGCUUCUUCCUAACAUCUAACCCAACCUCCCCCUCUUUAAGUUUAAAGCCUUUGUCCUAUCAUGGUUCUAUUAGACCAUGCAAAAAAGUUGCUCCCUCUCCUGCUUAAAAGCUCCCUCCACGUACUGGAAGGCCACAAUGAGGUCUCCCCAGAGCCUUCUCUCCUCCAAGCUAAACAAGCCCAGCUCCCUCAACCUCUCUUUAUAGGAGAUGCACCAGCCCUUUGACCAUCCUCAUGACCCUUCCCUACACCCGCUCCAACAAAAUACCAGCUGUCUCUACCAUGAGCUUUGCUUCACACAUUUUCAUAACCUUUAAGUUUCAAUCUUAAGAUUAAAACCUUAAGAAAGAUCUCACAUUCUUCUGGUCAGCUCUGGAACUCUGGUACUUAUCAGAACUUCAUCCUACUGACAAAAAUUCCCAUGAAAUUACAAAAUACCAAAUUCGGACUCAGUGAAAAGUAUCUUCCGUACUUGUACAGAAACAGAAAAAUACAAAGACUCAAAGAAGUUUGAAGACCUGAAUCAGCCUUAACCCUCACCUGUGCUUUUUAUUAAGGCUUAUACCUAAAACUGUGCUGUUAGCUUGCUUUUGGGUUUCAAAAUUUGAUAGCAAUGGCACUAGUAACCAAGCAACAGUAAUUGCUUCUCUGAGAUUAAACCACAACAUGACAUUAAAGCUCUGCUACUGAACUUCCUUACAAAGGUGCAAAAUUUUUGCAGGCAGAAGUUAAUUAUGUAGAAGGGCAAUUUCAAUUUAAGUUGCAAGUAUCACUGAGCUGUAAGGAAGCAGAUACAAUGAGGUCAAGAGUUCAGCCUCCCUGAGUUUUAAAUCUAGAGAAGGAUUAUUGUAGCUUCCCAUUUUUAAUUGAUGCAUCCAGCCUCUCAAAAUAGUUCCAACUACGUAAAAACAAAUGGCCUCUAAAUAAGUGCUAGACAACAACAUGAUCAUACUGCAAAUUUUACUAUAGCUACUAUUACAAUUUCACAAUUAAAGAGAUGAUACUACCAUGAAUUAGAACUAGAGGACAUUGUACAGCUUGUAACUAAACCAGGACGUUCAAUGUACUCUUUAGCCUACGUAUAGUCAAACCUACUGUAAGACAACGAACACGACCCUACAGAUAAACCUACAUAAAUCACAGAAAACAUGACCUUAUUAGAAGUGCUAUGAUAUCUAAAGUUCUUGAGACAAACAAGGUGGACAGAACAAGAAGACAAAAGUCAAAACUGCUCAAGGAAGAGUUGGCUAACAAAUAAAGUAGUGGUUGAUGGUUUCAGUACUGAAAUACUACUUAGAAAAUCAAUGACGUGCAGGUGAGGGUUACACUUCCUGAGCGUGACCUAAACUGAUUACAAACAGGGGAACGUACCUGGAGCCCACAUCACUGCACCAGGGGCAGGCAGUUUUGCCCUGCGCUGCACAGCUACCAGUUCCAACUCACGUGCCUCCUGACCCCAUCAGCGAUGCUGGGUCUGAGGACAGACAUACUAAGCCAUGCCAAGACACUGUUGCUUAAACAGUUCCCUCUCACCAGAAGGCACAGAAGCAUUUUUGUCACUUGCACAGCAGUUGCCAUUAAGACGUAAAUGUUUGCCAACAGAUCAACCCAGUAGGCUGCAAUUGUUCCAUAUGCUUUGAAUCUGGUAUUUCUGUGGUAACCAUCACAUACCCAAAUGCUAAUAGCGACUGUACUCCAAACACCAUAAUUCCUUUCUCAGAGCCAGAUCCUCCUCUACCCCUAGUUGUUUCAGCAAAAUCCUUUUGCGUUAUCUGUACAACAUCAAUGAUACAACAAUUCUUACUAUCUUUCAUCAUUAAAGCUCCUUUUCAUGUCCACUUUUAACAGAAUAUAACAAUCAGAAAGAUCAAUGCAGUAGAAUGCUGAUACAGAAGGUGUAAUGACAAAGGGACCAGCACAAUGGAAAGGUGCUACAACAAAAAAGGACUUACCUAACUCUGAAGAUGUAGACUCACAGAGAAAACUCCCCAAGAAAAGAAUCUCCAACCAGACACCUUUCCCCCCUCACAGUCAGCCCUUAAACGAGGUCUAAGAGAGGGGCAGUCAGGUUCCACCCCUUCUGGUUCCACAGCUGAAUUGCCUUCACCUGUGCUCCCAGGGCUGACCGGGUCCUUUCCCCAGGUGCUCAAUCGGUGGUUCAGGCUGGGACUCAACAGUUACCAUACACAAUAAACAUUUAGCUUCUGAAGUAUGGGCAAAGUAGUCAAUGUAUACUCUGUCUGUUAUUCAAGUGAAAGAAUAUGAUGAACAGAUGAGGCCUAGAAAAUUUGCUUUGCCAGAGAAAACAACGUAUUAUGUCUAAAGCAAGUGCCCAGUAUUUCCCAGUUGAAUGCAAAUUAUAGUAUUUAGCCUUGUAGAGAUGAAACAUCUGGAAUAGCUAUCCGAUUUAUAGCUCCAAAUCACACAUAUCAAGCUUUAACACACUAACGUUAAUAUUCCAGUAUUCCAGCUAAUGUGAAGAUCUCUGUUCUGAGAGUUUGAGUUGGAAAGGAACGUGGACCAUCAACAAAAACAAAAAGUUGAAUAUAACAUCGCCCUGCAGCGUUGCAGAGAUAACUAAAGAUGCCAAUCAUUCAA